UAAACGGGAAGUUACUGAUAACAGAGUUUCCUGAUAAACGAACAGCAAGUCACAUUUUAGUACCACCCCCCGAAGACGCCCAGACAGUUUAGGGUAAUACCAAGUUACACAAACACGAGUGUAUUGGUACCAUACCAGAAUGAGUUCAGUUGUGAUUAUACGAUAACUGGGAUUCAAGGAGGCUGGAACAGUAAGUUGAAUUAAUC